GAUGAACGCUGGCGGCGUGCCUAAUACAUGCAAGUCGAGCGAACAGACGAGGAGCUUGCUCCUCUGACGUUAGCGGCGGACGGGUGAGUAACACGUGGAUAACCUACCUAUAAGACUGGGAUAACUUCGGGAAACCGGAGCUAAUACCGGAUAAUAUAUUGAACCUCAUGGUUCAAUAGUGAAAUACGGUUUUGCUGUCACUUAUAGAUGGAUCCGCGCCGCAUUAGCUAGUUGGUAAGGUAACGGCUUACCAAGGCAAGGAUGCGUAGCCGACCUGAGAGGGUGGUCGGCCACACUGGAACUGAGACACGGUCCAGACUCCUACGGGAGGCAGCAGUAGGGAAUCUUACGCAAUGGGCGAAAGCUUGACGGAGCAAAGCGGCGUGAGUGAUGAAGGUCUUCGGAUCGUAAAACUAUGUUAUUAGGGAAGAACAAAUGUGUAAGUAACUAUGCACGUCUUGACGGUACCUAAUCAGAAAGCCACGGCUAACUACGUG
rnacentral:rRNA from 1 species